AUUGAACGCUGGCGGCAGGCCUAACACAUGCAAGUCGAGCGGAUGAGAGGAGCUUGCUCCUUGAUUUAGCGGCGGACGGGUGAGUAAUGCCUAGGAAUCUGCCUGGUAGUGGGGGAUAACGUUCCGAAAGGAACGCUAAUACCGCGUACGUCCUACGGGAGAAAGCAGGGGACCUUCGGGCCUUGCGCUAUCAGAUGAGCCUAGGUCGGAUUAGCUAGUCGGUGAGGUAAUGGCUCACCAAGGCGACGAUCCGUAACUGGUCUGAGAGGAUGAUCAGUCACACUGGAACUGAGACACGGUCCAGACUCCUACGGGAGGCAGCAGUGGGGAAUAUUGGACAAUGGGCGAAAGCCUGAUCCAGCCAUGCCGCGUGUGUGAAGAAGGUCUUCGGAUUGUAAAGCACUUUAAGUUGGGAGGAAGGGCAGUAAGUUAAUACCUUGCUGUUUUGACGUUACCGACAGAAUAAGCACCGGCUAACUUCGCGCCAGCCGCCGCGGUAACAC
rnacentral:rRNA from 1 species